rnacentral:misc_RNA from 1 species
UUUAAAAAUUAGGGGUGUUACAUAAAAGGGGAAAAUCAGCUGAGAUUUCAAUUCAAGGCAAACACGCCAAAACUCUUACACUGAGUUGAUUCAAUCUGAUUUCGAUUCGAUUUUGAUUUCGAGUCAACCUUUCGCGGAAUCUAAAUGCACCACGUUUCAUAACUAUUCCGAAGAACCCCGCCUGCUGCUGCUACUCCCAGCCCCUAGG